UGCCUGAAAACUAGUUUUACCACUGGAC
rnacentral:piRNA from 1 species